GGUCCGGUCCCAGGCGAUGGGACAGGCGCGAAUCGGGUCAGGCCGGGAACGGAGCAGCCCUAAGGGCCCCGUUUCAUGUGCAAGGUGCCCGGACCCAA
rnacentral:SRP_RNA from 1 species